GGACUAAUAAGUGUCACUUAAUGAAGAACUCAAAUAACCAACCAAAAUCUCUGAGGAACGUUUCCAACUCCUUGUUGAAAGCAAUUAAAGCAUCAUUAACAUUAAAGCAGUUCUGAAGACAAAAGGGUGUCCAACCUUUUACCAGCAAGGUGUACCUAAUAAAUUGCAUUGCCAUAUCUAUUGUCAGAGGAGAAGAAGAAUCUUUGAUACAAAAUAUUUUUAGUCAUUUCUUAAAAAGAUUUUAGAAUUUAUUUAAACCUCAGUCUACUACUUAAGACAACUUUACUAUCUAGAUUUUGCAGUGGCCCUAGUAAAUGUAUUUCAGAGAGAAACAAGCUGGGUGACGGCUAACAUGUGCUUCUAUCAAGACACAUGAAGUCCAACCACAUUUUUCGAACCGCUGCUAACACAACAUCAUUGGACAGCUGAGUAUGCUUGGAGGAGAACGCUAACUACCAAUUCUGUAACGUCUGCUGGAGUGAGCAUUCCCUUUAUGGCAACAAGGGGAACUAAACCAUGCAAAAUCCUCCCCACAGCAAAAACAGAGCCAUCAGACCCCCACUUCAUUGCAGGGGUCAAGCAGAGCGUAUGCCACAUACGCACUUGCCCACUUGUAAAGAAUAUGAUGCAAGAUAACUCAUCUGACCAUAUCACUUUUUCCAUCUCUGUAAACGUCACUUAAGUCACUGUUCCAGCUGAACAACUAACCAGUUGAGCAGUCUUCAUGACUGAAACUGCUGCCAUUCCUGCACCAAUAAUGGUUCCUCGUUUACAGCAACUUAAAUCUUUUCUUUUUGCCAUCUGGACUUUAACUGGGUCUGUUCAACAAUUUUAUACAUUUUAGCUGAAACCUGAAACAUUCACAUAAAUCACCAAGACAGUCAAAUAUGAUCAUGUUGCAGUGUCAGCUCAGAAGCAGAUGCAGAAAACAAAAGCUUGUAAAGGCGAAUGCCCUUUUAUUACCCUGACAUGAAACAUAAAGGGCAGUGACACGAGAGGACAAGAUAUCCAACACCUUGUAUCUCAGCCUCCGUGGUCACAAUUGCACUAAUAACACGGUCAACAACUGUCACAACAAACUGACCUUUAUAACCGGCAGUAUUGCAUGACAAUGAAAUGUUGGAGUAAGUUUUGCCCAAGAGAUUUACCUGCAAGACAUGGAAUCCACCUAGACACUAUUGAACAAAUAGCCUGUUGCUCCCUGGCUGCUACUCUUACUGCUAUACACUUACAUUUAUGACACUUGGCAGAUGCUCUUUUCCAGAACGACUUACAGUUUGAUUAUUUUAUGCAGGGAGGCCAAAGUAGUGUUAGGAGUCUUGCCCAAGGACUCUUAUUGGUAAAAUGUAGGGUACUUCUGUUUGUGAAUCCUGUUUGGGACAGUAGCCAUGGCAGCUUGUUGCUUUGCAAUCUGUGUGUGUCUGUCUGUAAGUCUCCAAGAAAGAAAAUUACUUACUUUUUUGAAAACUAUAUCACUGAGUGAAUACUCCUGUUGUAGUUUGAAACUAAGCCAAAGAAAAGGAUAUAUCAGGACCCAGGAUGCAUUAAAAUUGUUCUUUUUCAGUCAUGAAUUUUCUGGUCAUGGGGACAUUUUAAUGUGUACAAUCAGUGUACUAUGGCUUUAAGUAUUUUCCCCUGUUGUCAUGUGACCUAGGUGUAGUUUUGUUUCUUAGUUUGGUCAAAUUAAUUAACUUCCAAUCACCAUAUACCAGUGCAUUCUGUGCAUUCAUAGAAUUAUUUAUGUGGUCAUUGACAUAAGCUUUCAUUAGGUCUUUAAUGUAGUUUUUAAUUAUGUAAGUCAUAGAUUUCAUGAAAAAGCUUACCAAGAAUAUUCAAAUUAAGUGUUUCAUUAGUUAUAGUUUUAAUUUUCAAUUAUGUUGGCUUGACAUUCAGUAAUACUGAAACGAUGUAUGUUUAUGUAUUUAUUUUAAUAUAGCACAUUUUAUCGUUUUAUCCAAACAUUAACAGAUUUUUUUUUUAUUAUUUGCAAUUAUCUGUGCAUGUCAGGCAUCCCAAAUGUGGUUGUUAUGACGAUGGUUGAUGCUGAUGUCUGUCCUCUGGUCAAUAAAGAUCUCACACAGAUCUACAGAAGCAGGAAAAUCAAAGAAAAGAUGCAGGAAUGCAGCAACAGACUCGGCCCAACCAUGAAAAAUAUCUUCCCAGUGAGCAACUAUCAUGAAGAGAGUGAAACAAAUGACACCAAAGAUGUGCUUAUCCUAACAGCAUUAUUGCAGAUCGUAAACCGUGCAAAAAAUUAUGUUUAUGAGCAGCAUAACAUCUGUGAAUAAUUUGCUUUUGACUCGACUUUGACUCAAACACCAGUGACUCAGACUUUGACUCAGACUUGAGACAGAUGACUCAGAAAGACUUGAGACCUAAAGUGAAAAUGAAGUGAAAGGCAUCUGACUGAAGAUGGGAUUCUACACACUUGCCAUGUGAAUGGAUUGAAUGCUGCUGUAAUGCUGCUGUGAAUGCUGCUGUAAAUUUGAUAAUCCAUCAAAUUCGUUCAUUCGUUCAUUCAUUCAUUCAUUCAGUCAUUCAUCUUCUAACCCGCUUAUCCUCCUGGGUUGCGGGGUGCUGGAGCCAAUCCCAGCGGACAUCAUGGCAGGAAACACCUGGACAGGCCCUCAGUCCGUCACAAAGUUGAAUUUAAUGAUACAUUGAAAAAAUCUUUUAAUGUGUAGUUCACUAAUUUUUGAGUAUACCUUCACUAUACCUGUCCAGUAUACACCCUGGACAGGUCGCCAGUCCAUCACAGGGUGAAAACAAAAUAAUAAGAAAUUAAUAUUCAGCCAUACUGAAUAACUUGCUGUGCUAUUACUCCUACUCAUUUUUGGUGCCCAGUGUUGAAACAGCCUUAAAUAACUUGGGACUUGACUUGAGACUUGCCUGUAUAGACUUGGGACUUGACUUGAGACUUGCUUCUAUAGACUUGGUACUUGACUUGAGACUUGCCUGUAUAGACUUGGGACUCGACUUGAGACUUGCCUAUAUAGACUUGGAACUUGACUUGAGACUUGCUUGUACUUGGUACUUGGCUUGAGACUUGCCUGUAUAGACUUGGAACUUGACUUGAGACUUGCCUGUAUAGACUUGGGACUUGACUUGAGACUUGCCUGUAUAGACUUGGGACUUGACUUGAGACUUGCUUGUACUUGGCACUUAGCUUGAGACCUGCCUAUAUAGACUUGGUACUUGACUUGAGAUUUGCCUAUAUAGACUUGGGACUUGACUUGAGACUUGCCUGUAUAGAUUUGGAACUUGACUUGAGACUUGCCUAUAUAGAGUUGGGACUUGACUUGAGACUUGCUUGUAUAGACUUGGUACUUGACUUGAGACUUGCCUGUAUAGACUUGGAACUCGUCUUGAGACUUGCUUCUAUAGACAUGGGACUUGACUUGAGACUUGCCUAUAUAGAGUUGGGACUUGACUUGAGACUUGCUUGUAUAGACUUGGUACUUGACUUGAGACUUGCCUGUGUAGACUUGGAACUCGACUUGAGACUUGCCUAUAUAGACUUGGGACUUGACUUGAGACUUGCCUGUAUAGACUUGGGACUUGACUUGAGACUUGCCUGUAUAGACUUGGGACUUGACUUGAGACUUGCUUGUACUUGGCACUUAGCUUGAGACCUGCCUAUAUAGACUUGGUACUUGACUUGAGAUUUGCCUAUAUAGACUUGGGACUUGACUUGAGACUUGCCUGUAUAGAUUUGGAACUUGACUUGAGACUUGCCUAUAUAGAGUUGGGACUUGACUUGAGACUUGCUUGUAUAGACUUGGUACUUGACUUGAGACUUGCCUGUAUAGACUUGGAACUCGUCUUGAGACUUGCCUGUAUAGACAUGGGAUUUGACUUGAGACUUGCUUGUAUAGACUUGGUACUUGACUUGAGACUUGCCUGUGUAGACUUGGAACUUGACUUGAGACUUGCCUAUAUAGACUUGAGACUUGCUUGUACUUGGUACUUGGCUUGAGACUUGCCUGUAUAGACUUGGAACUCGACUUGAGACUUACCUGUAUAGACUUGGAACUCGACUUGAGACUUGCUUGUACUUGGUACUUGGCUUGAGACUUGCCUGUAUAGACUUGGAACUCGACUUGAGACUUGCUUGUACUUGGUACUUGGCUUGAGACUUGCCUAUAUAGACUUGGUACUUGACUUGAGAUUUGCCCAUAUAGACUUGGGACUUGACUUGAGACUUGCCUGUAUAGACUUGGAACUCGACUUGAGACUUGCCUGUAUAGACUUGGAACUCGACUUGAGACUUGCCUGUAUAGACUUGCUACUUGACUUAAAACUUGCUUGUACUUGGUACUUGGCUUGAGAUUUACCUAUAUAGACUUGGUACUUGACUUGAGAUUUGCCUAUAUAGACUUGGAACUUUUGACUUGCCAGUGUCGACUUGGAACUCAAAUUGAGAUUCGCUUGUACUGACUUUUUACUUGAAUCAAUUCUCGACUGUCUUGACUUGGAACUUGACUUGGAAUUCAAGUGUCAAGUCUUGAGACUUACUUCUUGUUUAUGUCAUGACUUAAAAUUGGCAUUAAGAUCAUAAUCUGAUGAUAAUAUCAUAAGGAUGAUCAGUAUCUAAUUUGCAAUAUGUAGUGUUCCCUUUUUCUUUUAUGGCAUGUAAACAAAAUCUCAUCGAUGUUGUGUCAGUGAUUUUUCUUUAUUUAUUUCAGCAUAAGAACAGUGGCUUAUACUGUUCAAAUUUGGCAUUUGAAAUAUUUCCUUAUUGCUCCUUUUAGAUUUGGACAUUUAGCUCAGUGUGAGAUCAACAACCAUUUGUGUGAAACUGCUUAUGUCUUUGCUUUUUUUCUGUAGUUCUAUACCACACCUUGUUUGAAUUCAUGAUUUCCGAAAGCAUGAAUUCAAAAAGCAUGAAUAAUUAAAUCACCCAUAAUUAUCCAUCCAUCCAUCCAUCCAUCCAUUUUCUAAGCCGCUUCUCCGUCUAUCAUUUUGUAAAAUAAAAUCUCCUGUUUACCUUGUGUUAAGUAAAAUACUUGGUGAUAAUGUC